ACUUCCUGGAGGCGGCGCGAAACGGCAAUGGCGGUCCUCUUCGGUCUCUGAAGAGGGGCUCCGCAGAAAAGGGUCGUCCGCUGCGGCACAGCGGUGACCCAUUAAGAAAAACCACGGGCAGAGUGAGCCCGUGGCCGUGGGACUCGGCGGGCACCAGGAGCGACCCCAAAAACGAAGAAGGAACCCCGUAAGGGGCUCCGGAAACGUGGAAGGGGGAGCGGUGCUGUGAGUUCAUCGCUCUUUCUGCGGGAGCGAAGCCGCGCGGCUGCUGCUGAUGAGCGCCGACCUUUCUUCUUGGAACAUCAGGCUCUAAACUACCUACUCGUGAGUAAGGAUCAAUCAUUUUGGGACUAAAAGUGUUAAAUUUGGCUGAAAGCGGGAGACGAUAAACAGGAAGUCCGUCUUCCGGCAGUGCUUUAAAGAUCAAAGGCAAAGAUUUUAACAAGCGGGAAGCAGCUUUAAAAGAUUAUAAAUUUGGGACUAUCGUGUUGAUAGAAUUGGCUUUUAAAAAGAAGGAGAAAAGAUUUUUAUUUCUAAGUGUUUUGGACUUUAAAUGGGACUUUCCUCCCCUUUAUGGAUUAUAAAGAAUUAAGAACCAAACCUCGGACUGACAGGAAAAAAGAGAGCUGUCAUUGCGGAAACUGUAUCCAAAAUAGAGACUGUUACAGUUGAGUGAUACUGGCAAGAUACAAUUAAAUAAACUGUUACUGGCACCUUUUAUCUGAGACUUUGUGGCAGCUUGGGAAGUGCUCUGUAAGCUAAAAAGUUUAUGAAGAACUUUUGGUAAAUUAGACUGUUUUGAGGCUGCAGGGACUUUAAUGGCGGAUAAAGUUCUUUCCUUUCUAUGAACUACAGUAAUACUCCCCUAGUGGAGUUCUGGAAUUACAAGUGCCUGGGAACAAAUUUUAUUUGGACUAUCUGCUGCUCUGUUAUUUACACUUUGGAACUGUCCUUCCCAUGGGACAAUAUACAGCUUGACCUUGACUCAUAGACAGGUGUGGAAUGAGUGGCCAACCGAAAACAAGAUCUGCGAAAACGAAAGCAAGACAAGCCCAACUUGUGCAAACAACUUUGACUACUCAGUCACGUAGAUCAUCUGUCCCAGCUGUUUUGGGAGUACAAGAAAAGGAAACUGCACAGCCUGCAUCAGAGGAUAUGGCAGAGGGAGGAUCAGAUACCUUCUUACAACAAAUGUUAGAACAAUUUGCAAUAUUGAACAAGAAGGUGGAUGACCAAUCGGCAAAAAUAGAUCAAGCCACAUCCUCUAUUACUAAAUUGUCUGACCAAGUUGCACAACAUACACAAGUUAUUGGGAAUCUCAAGGAAGCAACUGUGGAAAAUCGGAGACUGGCUGAAGCAGCCAAUGAAAAAGCAGAACAAGCAAAUCAAAAAGUUGAGGCUAUAAAAGGGGAGGUAAGGCCACUACACAAGCACAUUAGUGAUCAGCAGGCUUACCUGUCUAUGGUGGAAUUGAGAAACCGGGAAAACAAUCUGAGAUUAAGAGCUAUCCCAGAGCUUGAACAGGAAGAUUUAAUUGGUUAUCUGACAGCAGAAUUUUCCAAGUUCUGGGGUAUAGAAGAGGACAAAGAUUUCAAGAUCACAACUGCGUUCAGAUUAGGAAGAGUCGUGAGGAGGGACAAGCCCAGAGACUGUUUGAUUAUUUUGAGAUCCAAGCAGGAGAGAGAUAAAAUACUAGGCCUCCACUUUAAGAAAUCACUUGAUAUCCAAGGCAAAAGAGCAGAAUUUUAUAGAGAUAUUCCUAAACAACUUUUGGAUCUCAGAGCCACAUAUACAGACCUAGCAAGACUACUGAGAGGAAACGCGAUUCCAUAUAGGUGGGAGUUUCCCCAAGGUUUAUCUUUUAAUUUUAAAGGAAAGAAAAUUAAGAUUAAAACAUCAGAAGAUAACCAGAAGUUCCUGCACGACCACGGAGAAGACCUUCAGAAGGAGCAGCAGCCUCUUGGCCACCGCCACUGCCUGGAAAAGCACCGAUACCUACACCCUCGGGGCCAGAAGAAAAGGAAGACACCCCACUAUAGGAACAACAGAUUGAUUCAGAAUGUCUCUGCAGCUGUACAGUUGGAAUAUAAAUGGCGGGAACUCCCGGAAAAAAGACGAAGGAUUUUUCAUAUUUUGAAAAAGAACAAUUGGAUAUUGUUUGCUUGCAGGAAACGCAUGUGACUAGGCUCCAUAGGAAAGUGUUAAUCAACAAAAGACUAGGCCAAGAAUUUAUUUCAUCAGACAAAGUCAAGAAAAGAGGCGUAGUGAUUUAUGCAAAGGAGAACCUGUCACCGAAAUUUCUGUUUAAAGAUGAGCAAGGAAGAAUUUUGGCAAUUGAGAUACAAACACAAGGAGAAAAGUUUUUGAUUUUAGGAAUAUAUGCACCAAAUGAGGGGAAAUCGGAAUUUUACAAGAAGCUGCAUGAGAUAAUGCUGGACUAUCUGGACUAUACCAACAUCAUAAUGAUGGGCGAUAUGAAUGGGGUGGUUUCUACUCACAUGGAUAAGUCACAAAAUCAAAAUUUAACUAAAGACGGCAGACUACCUAAAACCUUCUUUGAACUAACUGAUAACAUGGACUUGAUUGAUAUUUGGAGGACAAGGAACCCCUUAGGUAAAGAAGGAACAUUUUUUCUGAGGCCCACCUAUCAUGGACAAGAAUCGACCAAAUAUGGACAACUAGAGGACUGGCACCUAAGAUCAGAAAAGUGGAAAUCUGUCCAAAGACUUGCUCCGACCAUAAUGCUUUGAAAGUGGAAUUGAGACUUACUCCAACCGGUUCUUUCAGAUGGAAAAUGAAUGACACCCUACUAAGAGAUCAGGAGAUUGUGAAGAAGGCCCAAAAACUUUAAAGGACUAUUUUGAAAUCAAUUUGAACACUUCGGUGGAAAAGAGAACAAUCUGGGACGCAAGUAAAGCUGUAAUGAGGGGGUUUCUGAUACAACAGAACACAAU
rnacentral:lncRNA from 1 species